rnacentral:rRNA from 1 species
GGCGGCGUGCUUAACACAUGCAAGUCGAACGAUGAACCUCUUCGGAGGGGAUUAGUGGCGAACGGGUGAGUAACACGUGGGCAAUCUGCCCUUCACUCUGGGACAAGCCCUGGAAACGGGGUCUAAUACCGGAUACGACCUCCGACCGCAUGGUCUGGUGGUUGAAAGCUCCGGCGGUGAAGGAUGAGCCCGCGGCCUAUCAGCUUGUUGGUGGGGUGAUGGCCUACCAAGGCGACGACGGGUAGCCGGCCUGAGAGGGCGACCGGCCACACUGGGACUGAGACACGGCCCAGACUCCUACGGGAGGCAGCAGUGGGGAAUAUUGCACAAUGGGCGAAAGCCUGAUGCAGCGACGCCGCGUGAGGGAUGACGGCCUUCGGGUUGUAAACCUCUUUCAGCAGGGAAGAAGCGAGAGUGACGGUACCUGCAGAAGAAGCGCCGGCUAACUACGUGCCAGCAGCCGCGGUAAUACGUAGGGCGCAAGCGUUGUCCGGAAUUAUUGGGCGUAAAGAGCUCGUAGGCGGCUUGUCGCGUCGGAUGUGAAAGCCCGGGGCUUAACCCCGGGUCUGCAUUCGAUACGGGCAGGCUAGAGUUCGGUAGGGGAGAUCGGAAUUCCUGGUGUAGCGGUGAAAUGCGCAGAUAUCAGGAGGAACACCGGUGGCGAAGGCGGAUCUCUGGGCCGAUACUGACGCUGAGGAGCGAAAGCGUGGGGAGCGAACAGGAUUAGAUACCCUGGUAGUCCACGCCGUAAACGUUGGGAACUAGGUGUUGGCGACAUUCCACGUCGUCGGUGCCGCAGCUAACGCAUUAAGUUCCCCGCCUGGGGAGUACGGCCGC